AUAACCGGUGGGUGUCGAGUAGCAGGGCCUAAGACAAGCCGAGCGAGUUGAAAUGGACACUGUCAUUGGUUAUUUUUGAAAACGAGCAGCAUGGCGUUGACGACUGCCGCACGGACUUCCCUUUCUACUGUUAGUCACCUUUUGAGAAGAUAACAGGGACUCAACAGUUUGGAUUGAGGAUUUCAUGAAAUGGCGACAGUCACAGCAGCCGUCACGCAGGACGGUUUGAAGAAUAUUAGACAUGCAACUGCUCUCAUCAUCAUCUUAUCAGCACCGUCCUCAUCAUUGGGUCGCGGGCGUGCUGGAGCCUAUCCCAGCUGUCAUCGGGCAGGAGGCGGGGUACACCCUGAACUGGUUGCCAGCCAAUCGCAGGACACAUCGAAACAAACAACCACUCGCACUAACAGUCAUGCCUACGGGCAAUUUAGAGUCUCCAAUGAAUGCAUGUUUUUGGGAUGUGGGAGGAAACCGGAGUGCACGGAGAAAACCCACGCAGGCACGGGGAGAACAUGCAAACUCCAGACAGGCGGGGCCGGGGAUAGAACCCGGGUCCUCAGAACUGUGAGGCUGACGCUCUAACCAGUCGCCCACCGUGCCGCCAUGAUUUUGACUCAUUAUUUAUUAUUGACAUUAUCUAAUUCCACUUAUUAAUUCAUUCAUUUAACAAUACUGUUGAUGAUCAUUAUUGUUGUUGUAGGCUUGGAGAAUUGACAAAUUGAUAUUUUAGAAUGUGUCAGGUCAGACACAGUAAGUAAAAAGGGUCUGGCACUUGCAUAGCUGUUUACAACAACAGCUUCAUGUCAUGCAAUGUCUAAAAUUAGCAAGUGAACUCUUAUUGCCCUGCGUUGUCCUUUGAGCAUGUCCUCGUGUUCAUGUUCCUGCAGCCCAAUAAAUCCACUAAUAAUGAUUGAUCAUUAAUUGUUUUUUUUCUUUUCUAUUGAGCUGAUCGUAAUCAGGUGUAAGCAACACCGUGCCCUUGAUGUACUUCCUAUCUGCGUGCACAGCCCUUUUUUGUGACCUGAUUUUAAAUUUGUUGCAGAGACAUUGCUGACGAGCGCAAGAGAAGUUGGAGGAGGAGGCGCGGAAGCCAAAAAGAAACUGGAAAUGGAAUACAUCUUGAUCGGAUGUGGCCUCGGUCUGUUUUUGACGCUUUUCAUCAUCCUCAUCAAGUACUGCAUCAUCAGAAAACACAUGCAAGACAAAAGAUCUGAAGACCAGACAGCUUUUAUUUGGAUGGGAGGAGCUGCAUUAUUUGAGAAGAGAAUAAACAUGAACCAACAACUGAAGAGCCCAUAGAUACAUGUGUAUUGCUGCUAUCCUGCUGCUCUACUGACACACAUACUGCACACUCAUUAUUUGGCUCUACUCAGCACAAGGCCCCAGCACACACAAAAAAAAGGAAAAAGUUGUCUGCCACAAGGGGACAGCAUUACACAUGGAGAACCUUUCGAAGACGCCGCUAUAAUGAGGGUUGUGUUAGUUUUGUCAAAAAAUGAAACACGAUGGAUGAAGUAUUCGACCAGACAUUACAUUUUCAAGUAAUGGCCUAACUUGUGUUUCAUCAGAUUUAAGUAGACUAUAAACAGUUACAAAUGUAAUGCAAUACAUUCCAAUUGUGUAGAGAAACUACCAGUCAAGAGGACUAAUCAUUCAAUAGCAUGAGAACAUGUGUCCAACCAUUUGGCUAUUGUCAAGAGCUAUCUUAAAGUGAGUUGAGAAGAUUUAUUUAUAUAUACGUAGUGCUUUGCCAGCAUCUUAUAGCAUCUUGGUGCCAAGGAACUAUGUUGAAGUGAGUUGAGGAGCUUUAUUUAGGCAAAAGUAGUGCUUAGCCGACAUCUUGUGGCCUUAAUUAUAUUCACAGAUUUUCGCUAUUCGCUAUAUGGUCCCUAUCACUAUUGCAUUUGCACAUUUUAAGUAAUAAGAUGC